GAUGAACGCUGGCGGCGUGCUUAACACAUGCCAGUCGAACGAUGAAGCCCAGCUUGCUGGGUGGAUUAGUGGCGAACGGGUGAGUAACACGUGAGUAACCUGCCCUUAACUCUGGGAUAAGCCUGGGAAACUGGGUCUAAUACCGGAUAGGAGCGUCCACCGCAUGGUGGGUGUUGGAAAGAUUUAUCGGUUUUGGAUGGACUCGCGGCCUAUCAGCUUGUUGGUGAGGUAAUGGCUCACCAAGGCGACGACGGGUAGCCGGCCUGAGAGGGUGACCGGCCACACUGGGACUGAGACACGGCCCAGACUCCUACGGGAGGCAGCAGUGGGGAAUAUUGCACAAUGGGCGCAAGCCUGAUGCAGCGACGCCGCGUGAGGGAUGACGGCCUUCGGGUUGUAAACCUCUUUCAGUAGGGAAGAAGCGAAAGUGACGGUACCUGCAGAAGAGGCACCGGCUAACUACGUG
rnacentral:rRNA from 1 species